AAUGCGGCUAGGGGGCACCCGAAAAGCGACUCAUCACCGCCUGCCGCAUUCACUUCAAUGAUGC
rfam:Vibrio phage pYD38-A genomic sequence.